CGUGAAGGCAGAUAUUAUUUGAAGCGUGAAGGCAGAUAUUAUUUGAAGCGUGACGAAAAGAAGCACCCCAUUGAGAGAUGCAAGCGGCACUGACAGACCUAACCGUUAUUCAACUUAUUGACUCAUGGAUAGAGGGUGUCCUCAAAAGAUCUGUGUGGAUCCUGGAACAGAGAAUGGAAUCGUUGCAGCAUUUCAUUGAAUCCUGUUUAGAAGGAAAUGGCAAUUCAGUUACUUAGGGAAAAUCUGGAGCAAAUCAAGGUGCUUCACAAUACUUCUAUGCAGUUCAACAAAAUACAGCGCCUCAUUUACAAAGACUCGUAUUUAAACAAUUUCCAAGAUAUUGAUGAAGAUUUUACAUGUGUGGCAACAUCUAUUUUGCAUCAGCAUGAUCUGCCUUUGCCUGACACCUUGAGAGACUGGACCUCUACUCAUCAUCUCUACAUAUAUCUGAGGGAGUGCAUGAUGCAUUUGAAGAUUCUUUAACAUCAUAAGAUGUUGUAGAAUAUACAUUUGUUUCCAUGACUUUGUACACUUGCUUUUAUUGCCAGCUGAUUUCUGUUCCAUAGUUUUAUGUAUUUAACUAAUCAGAUACAUUUUCAUGUAUUCACAUUUUCUGGGGGUGUUUUUUUAUCCUUGAAAUAUUUUAAAUGUGGAGCUUUACAGAAUUUCAUUUGGUAUGAAUGCUAAAGGCUAUUCAUGAACAGAAUUUUUUCUUUGAACUCUCCCAUCCCACUCCACCAUCCCCUAAAAAAACAUCCAUGACUUUUGUCCAAGCCAUACCUUUGUACUGUUAAACUUGCUAACCACAGGAGUUUACAGAAAUUUUUAGCUCUUCUGAGCCAAAGGCUCAAAGAGCUAAUGCUAUGGCCAUUUGUGCGGUGUGCGUAAACUUUUUAGAAAAAGGGCUAUAACUCAAGAACCCCUUGGCCAAUUUUUUUCAAAUUUGUUACAGGGUAUCAUUGGCCCAAGGGCUUUCAUACAUACUAAAUAGAGGGAUGUGACCAUUUAACAAGGGGAGAUAAUCAGGAAAAUACAAACAAAAGUAGUGGUUGCUAAAAAAUCUUCUUCUCAAGAACCACAGGGCAGAUUAUCACCAAACUUACACAUAAGGAUGAGGAUAUGUUGUAGAUUAGAAAUUGUUCAAGGCAUUACCCUGGGGCAAAGGGCAUGGUCUCAAGGUCACUUCAAAGUUGACCUAAAUUUAAAUUUUUUUUAAAUUCCUUAAAUCUUAGAUGUUUUAGUCAUUAUAAGGACUAGGAUCAUCAAAUUUUGACAGUUGAUGCAUCUUAGGACCUUGUGUCAAGUUGUCUCAAAAGUAGGUCACGGUGACCUACUUUUUGAAUUUUGCAGGUAUUUAUUUUAAAAUUAAUUUUGAUGCAUAUCUUGGACACUUUGAAGCCUAUGAUCAUCAAAACUUGUCAGUUGGUGGAUCAUGGGACCUUGAAAUGCGUCAACUGAAAAAUAGGUCACCGUGACCUACUUUCUGAAUUUUAUGGCUUAUCAUUUAUAGAUAUAUUUUAAGUUGUUAUUUCAAAUACCGAGAGGUUUAGAAUCAUCAAAUCUUGUAAGUUGAUGCAUUUUGAGGCCUUGAAGCAUAUUUAUAAAAAAAAAAAAAAAAAAGUAGGUCACAGUGACCUACUUUUUUAAUUUUGCAGAUAUUCAAAUUUCACAUUUUCAAUUUUAGAUGCAUAUUUUGGGCACUGUAAAACCUAGGAUCAUCAAACUUUGUCAGUUGAUGCGUCUUCAGUCUUCGGUUUGUGUCGACCAAAGAGUAGGUCACCGUGACCUUCUUUUGGUAUUUGACAGCUAAAUUACUAUAUUUCAGACACUAUUUGACCUAUAAUCAUCAAACUUUGUCAGUUGAUGCAUCUUGAGUCUUCGGAGUGUAUCGACCAAAAAGUAGGUCACUGUGACCUACUUUUGGCAUUUGACAGUUAUAUUUAUAUAUUUCAGUCACUAAUUGACCUACAAUCAUCAAACUUUGACAGUUGAUGCAUCUUGAGUCAACGGAGUGUGUCGACCAAAAAGUAGGUCACCUUGACCUACUUUUGGAAUUUGACGGCUAUAUUUAUAUAUUUCAGAUACUGUUUGACCUACAGUCAUCAAACUUUGUCAGUUGAUGCGUCUUGCAUGUUCAAAGGGUGUUCACCAAAAAGUAGGUCACCAUGACCUACUUUUGGAAUUGGACGGCUAUAUUUAUAUAAUUCAGAUACUAUUUGACCUACAGUCAUCAAACUUUGUCAGUUGUUGGGUCUUGCAUGUUUGAAGGGUGUUGACGAAAAAGUAGGUCACCUUGACCUACUUUUGGAAUUUGACGGCUAUAUUUAUAUAUUUCAGAUACUAUUUGACCUACAGUCAUCAAACUUUGUCAGUUGAUGGGUCUUGCAUGUUCGGAGUUCGCUGACCAAAAGGUAGGUCAACAUGACCUACGAUUGGAAUUUGACAGCUAUAUUUCAAUAUUCAGAUACUAAUUGGCUUAAAAUCAUCAAACUUUGUCAGUUGAUAUUUCUUGGGUUCUCAAAAUGUGUAAACCAACAAGUAGGUCACAUUGACCUACUUUUUUUGAAUUCUUAGGAUUUAACUAAAGAUUUAGAAUACUAAUAGGCUAAGAAUAGAAAUGGUGGGGUUGUACAAUUUAUCAGAAGAGCGAUUCUAGGCCCUUGGGCCUCUUGUUUUUAUUUGCUAUGCAUUUAUAUAUUCAAAAUGUUUAGCACCUUCUGAUAUGUAUUAUUAAUGUCAAAUAUGUAUGAUUGUGUAAUAAAUUAUAUACAUGUAUUUA